UUCAAAUUGGUAAGAACUGGUGGGAGCUAAAAUGUGGUUUGACACAGGUUGAGGAAGUGGAGACAGGUCUUUCAAGAGCAGUGGUUCAGAACUUGGUGGGAAUGGAACCUAGGUGUUGUGAUGGAGGAAUAGGCUUGACAUGUUUAGAUGCUUAUUGGAAGGAACACAAAGAGGGAAGGGGAUGAAAUUUAAAUGGGAACUCCUGUUGGUGCCUUUUCUGUAACAUUGUGCAGCUUCUUAUGUAUUAAUGGAAAGUCAACAUUAAAGGGGGUUUUGUUGGGGACAGGGGCACACAUUCAGUAAUGUGACAAUGAAGACAUCAUGAACUUGAUUCUCUUAACUUUUCAGAGUCUUUCCACAUUGACUAUCUCAUUUAAAAAAAAAUUUUUUUUUUUGGUCACACUAUGUGGCAUGUAGAACUUCCCUGACCAGGAAUUGAACCCGUACCCCCUGCAGUGGAAGCGUGGAGUCUUAACCACUGGACCACCAGGGAAGUCCUGACUAUCUCAUUUUAAUGAGGGAAAAUAUUCUGUAUUUUUCUCCUCAAGGGUUGAUGUUUAUUCGUUGAUUCUUUCAUAUAUUUUUGCUUGGUGUCCCUAGUGACUGAGGUGGUGGAUUUAAUAAAUUCAUAUGAAGCCAAAGAAGAUUGCCUGUCUUUGGGGUCUUGAUCCAUAUACUACAAGAGCUAUGUGGCCUGUGCAGCACUUUGUUUUGCUUUGUACUGUACUAUAGUCUCUAGACUUUUGGUUGUUUACCUAUAUCAGUAGAAAGUUAAUGUGUACCCCAGUAUAUGUGAUUGUGUAUUAAAAAAUUAUAAUGAAGUGUUGUACUUUACUAAUAUACACAUUGAAGUAUCUAUAGAAAUUUCAAAUGUUAAAAAAUUUUGUGAUAAAAAUGAGGUAAACAAAAUUUUGAAGAUACUUUUAAUAGAAUGGUAGAACCCCUUUUUAUCUUCACAAGUAUUUUUUGAGAGUAGUGUAUUUAAGUUUACUUUGUUAUUUUUUAAUUGUGGUAUAUAUAAUAUGCAUCAUUUUUUAAAAAUCUUGGUUAAUACUUUGAGAGUCAUUCAAAGGGCUAGUUUUAAGUUAGUUCUAUACAAAUCAGGUGAUUUUCAUAGUUGAAAAGCCAUUGUUUAAAAUGCCAUGCUUACCUUAAGUGUUUUUAAUUUUACAGAAGUAACUGCUAGAUCACAUACUACAGGAAGGUCAUGUCUUCACAGGAAAAGUAAUCAAUUUGGGGACCUUUUUGUGUAAGAAAAAUGAGUAACUCGUCAAGUUUCAAAACCUUUUAAGUGCUUUGCCACAAGAUGAAGAGCAAACCUCUAUGUGGUACAAAAGGUUUUCAAGGUUACUCCCUGUUUCAUGAAGAUAUAGUGUAACUAACCAUAUCCAUGACAUCUGGUAGUACUUUGUGUCAUUCUGUUGUCAUUUUCUUUGCUUCCUAAUUGAAAGAUUAAAUGAAUGAGUUUCUUGUGUGAUGGGAUCUCAGUAAGCUUUUUAUAGAAAUCUUGUUUUAUUUUGCUUAAAGCAGCCACUCUCAUAGCAGAUAAUACUCUUACUGAUUUUCCAUAAAAAGCUUUAAUUAAAAUAGGUCAAAGAAGCUCCCUCCUGAAGACAUUGUGUCUUUUUGUUCAGUUUUCUAUCCCUUGUACCUGUAAGAGUUCCUGUCAUGUAAAAGGCACUCAGUAAAUAUUUAACUGUAGAAUGAAUUUGCAGUUGAGAAUAUGUUUUCCUAUAGAUAUUUUCUUAGAAAACUUUGCAUUUCAUUAAGAAGCCAGCAAAGACUAAAUAAACAGAGGCAUAUCAGAAAAAACAUAACUACCUACUGUAUGACAAAUUUCCCGCACUAUGUAGUUUUUCUAAUACCAAUUCCCCCCCCAUAAUCUUCAACAGUGUUUUCUGUGCAUAUUUAUAUAGUAAUUUACUGACAGAAAAAUACAUUUUGGUUUAUGUUCAUGUUGUUCCCCAAGUCAUACUUCAGCCUUUUCUACCAUGACAGGAAGAAUAAGUCUUUCCCAUGAUAUGUGGCUUCCUUUUUUUUUUUUGACCGCUGCACGCGGGAUUUUAGUUCCCCAACCAGGGAUCGAACCUGUGCCCUCUGAAGUGGAAGUGUGAAGUCUUAAUCACUGGACUGCCAGGGAAGUCCCUGUGGCUUUUUAUCUUACACUGUUUUAUAAGAAGUCACAAAAGAAGCAUGUAAACUCAAUGACAUUUUCCAAAGUACUGAAUUGAAAAUCAUGACUUUAAACCUUGCCAGAGAGAAAAAACUCACAACCUAUAGAGACCUGUUAUGUUUUAAGUACUUAAAAUUUUAAGUAUUUUACUAAUUGUGAUUGCUUUGCACUGUCAUUUGCUAAUAUUUUGGGGCAAAAUUUAUAUAUACAGUGAAGUUACUGUUGAUAAUAGAUGUAAAUCUAUAUUUUAAAAAGUUAUCUUGGUUAUUAUUAUCUUCUUUUUGACUGUCUUGUUAUAUCUGAUUAAUCAUUAUUUUUACUUGGUAAAGAGGGAAUACUAGGAGGAAGAGGUACCCUCCUGCCAUUUAUUUAUUUAGUGUGCUUAAAUUAUUAGUACUAUCUCCAAUACCUCUUUUGUUGCAGAAAUUAUCUUAAGUCCUUCACCUGUUUUUUUGAGGGCUCAGGUCAUUAAACUAGGAAAUUUGUGAUGUGCUGAAACAGAUCAGUCAGUGAGGGCACCAUUAUCAACCUUUCACAUUGUGGAACACCUUUUAUUCCCUCAGGUUGGGAUCAUCUGACAUAGACUGAGCCCUAGUGAUGUAUUCAAAGGAUUUUGAGUGCCAACUAUGUCCCAGGCACUAGGAUAUACCAGUGGACAAAACAGACCAAAAUAUAUAUAUAAAAAUAUGUAUAAUCUGCCAGUGUAUAGAGGUUGCAUUUUAGUGAGAGAGGCAAAAACCAAAUAAGUUAAAUAUUUAUUGAGAUUAGGGCUUCAGAAGAGAAAGAGUGUUGGAAAUAGGAUAGGGAGUAUCAGAAAGAGGUUGCAACAAGAUAAAGUGGGUCUCUGAGGUGGUGACACUUGAGCAAAGGACCUUAAGGAUAAGUUGAGAAUGUGAGGCAUGUUUUAUGUGGGGACAGAACAUUCCAGCAAGCAGGAACAGCAAAUGUAAAGACCCUGAGGCAAAGCGUGCCUAAAUUAGAUAUGGUAUGUGAAGUAAAGACAAGAAUCAAAGCUAACCUCAUGUUCUGGUUUGAGCAAUGGUAAUUACAGGGUUGCUAUCAUUUGAUAUGGGAAACAGGUUUUGGGUGUGAGAUUGGGAGAUGAGGAUGUAUGUACAGGAAUAAUUUGCUGGCAUGGCUUCUGGAUUUUGCAUGGUGAUGGAUCAAAAACUGUCCCUCAGGCAAGAAAUGUGAUUUUGAAUAACUUUCACUCUCAAUUGACGACACUUAGGGAAGAUAAACUAAUUUAUUUGCUCAAGCCAAAGGUAAUUAAUAAAGGAAGGGAACUUUCCUGGAGUAAAUGAGUGUUUACACACUAAUUUUGGAAUUCUUAAAUGAUUACUUGAAAUUUUCUUGCUUUAUUCUAUUAAAAUGCAGAACAUCUCUCCCAACCCUGUUUUUUUAAAAUUAAUUGAUUUAAUUUAUUUUUGGCUGCAUUGGGUCUUCGUUGCUGCAUGUGGGCUUUUCUCUAGUUGUGGCGAGCGGGGGCUACUCUUCAUUGUGGUGUAUGGGCUUAUUGCUGUGGCUUCUUUCUCUUGUUGUGGAGCAUGGGCUCCAGGCGCGUGGGCUUCAGUAGUUGUGGCACGUGGGCUCAGUAGUUGUGGCUCACGGGCUGUAGAGUGCAGGCUCAGUAGUUGUGGCGCAUGGGCUUAGUUUCUCUGUGGCAUGUGGGAUCUUCCCAGACCAGGGCUCGAACCCCUGUCUGCUGCAUUGGCAGGCAGGUUCUUAACCACUGCGCCACCAGGGAAGCCCCCAACCCUGUUGAUUUAAACAAUACAUGUGGUAAUAUUGUAUAGAUUGGUAUGUAAUCUCUGACAUAUGAGGAUCAUAAUUCUGAGACUGUUUAGAUAGAAACAGGGAAAUAGGGAGGUAUAAUACUAAGACUAAUGGGAAGAAGAAACAAAUUUUUUACCACUGUGAUGUUGUGAUUUAUAAAUCUGGUCAUCAGAUGACCAGAAUAUAUUUCUCAUACGUAUUUGGUGUUGUCCACGGUUCCUGGCUCACAGCUCCUAAAACCCAUGGAAUUUCCUGAGUGAUAAAGGUGUCUUUUGUUACGUUAAUGUGGUAACAUGUGGCCCUUUCCCCAUACCUAGCCCUUUUCAUCUCUUCCAGUUGGCUAUUCCUGAGUUAUAUCCUUUUAUAAGAAACCGGUAAUGUAGUAAGUGUGAGCCACUCUAGCAAAUUAAUCGAACCCAAGGAGGGGGUCAUGGGAACCUCUGGUCUAUAUAGCUGGCUGGUCAGAAACACACGUAAUAAGUUGGGCUUGAGACUGGCUUCUGAAACCCAAGUUGGAGGUCAUUGGAACCUCGGAGAUCUAUCUCCCGGUAGAUAGUGUCAGAAUUGAGUUGAAUUGUAGGACACCUUUCUGCUGUCCAGGGAACUGCUUGUUGGUAUGAGAAGUCCCCUUUCCAUGUUGGAAUUAGUAGCAGAACCUGAACCUACAUUUAACCACAUACUUCGGUCUUAAGGCAUCACUUGAAUGAUUUUUUUUUCUGAGAAUGCUUUAUGUUAUAAACAAUUAAUUCUGGGCAACUGUGUAUCAAAAUAUCUGCAUUAUAUGGCCUGUUUUCUAUACAAACUAUGUUUAUCUUUCUAUAUGAGCUUUCUGUUUUGAUGCUGUAUUUAUAAAUUUGGAAAUACAUGCAUGCUGGGUAGGCUCCAUUGCCUUAGUUUAUAUAAUAGAUUAUUCAGUAGAAUCACUCCCCAUAGGAUCAUCUUCUCUAGUUGAUAUGUUAAGAAAUGAAGUACAUUAAGGGCUGUUUUGGGGUGUGUGUGUGUGUGUGUGUGUGUGUGUGUAUGUGUGUGUGUGUGCGCGCGCUUCAUGUCUACUUUAGGAUCACAAUUAGUUGACGUUGAUCUUUGUUUAAAGAUCAACAACAGGGACUUCCCUGGUGGUGCAGUGGUUAAGACUCUGUGCUCCCAAUGUAGGGGGCCUGGGUUCGAUCCCUGUUCAGGGAACUAGAUCCCACCUGCAUGCCGCAACUAAGAGUUUGAGUGCUGCAACUAAGAGUUUGAAUGACACAACUAAGGAACCCUCGAGCUGCAACUAAGGAGCCCACCUGCUGCAACUAAGACCCAGCACAACCAAAUAAACAAGUAAAUAAAUAUUAAAAAAAAGAUCAACAGCAAAUCAUCAAAAUAUCAUUAAUCACUACUACUGCAUUUUUGUCCUAAUGGUAGCAGUUUUAACACACUUUUAUUAUGUUCUCUCUAGCAUUGACAUUUACGUCACACUUUUACUUUUUUUUUUUUUUUUUUUUUUUUGCGGUACGCGGGCCUCUCACUGCUGUGGCCUCUCCCGUUGCGGAGCACAGGCUCUGGAUGCGCUGGCUCAGCGGCCAUGGCUCACGGGCCUAGCCGCUCCACGGCAUGUGGGAUCUUCCUGGACCGGGGCGUGAACCCGUGUCCCCUGCAUCAGCAGGCGGACUCUCAACCACUGCGCCACCAGGGAAGCCACGUCACACUUUUAAAAGCCAGAACCAAAGCCAAACAAAAAGCUAACCGUGGCAUUUUGAUAAAUCCAUGUACUAAAGAUUCAUAGGGAUUGUUUUGUCUAAUGCACGCAGGGGUUUCUGCCGUAACGCCAUAUACAGUUGGUCCUUUGUAUCCGUAGAUUCUGCAUCUGAGAAGUCAACCAACUGUGGUUUGAAAAUAUUUGGGGAGAAAAAAAAUCCAGAAAGUUCCAAAAAGCAAAAUUUGAAUUUGCAACUUGCUGGCAACUAUUUACAUAGCAUUUAUGGAACAUUUACAUUGUAUUAAGUAUUAUAAGUAAUCUAGAGAUGAAUUAAAGUAUAUGGGGGGGGGACUUCCCUGGUGGUCCAGUGGUAAAGAAUCUGCCUUCCAAUGCAGGGGAUGCGGGUUCGAUCCCUAGUCAGGGAACUAAGAUCCCACAUGCCGCGGGUCAACUAAACCCACGUGCCACAACUACUGAGCCCAUGUGCCUCAACUAGAGAGCCUGCGUGCCACGAACUACAGAGCUCACGCGCGCCACAACUAAAGAGAGAAAACCUGCACACCACAACUAGAGAGAAGCCUGUGCGCCGCAAUGAAAGAUCCCAGAUGCUACAACUAAGACCCAACGCAGCCGAAAAAGAAAAAAAAAAGAAUAACAAUAAUAAAACUAUAUAUAUGGGAGGAUGUGCAUAGGUUAUAUGCAAAUACUAUGUGAUUUUAUAUAAGGGACUUGGGCAUCUGCAGAUUUUGGUAUCCAGGGGGGUCCUGGAACUAAUCACCUGCAAAUACUGAGGGGUGAAUAUGUAGCUUGACAAAACUUGAGAUUUGCAAAAUUGUGCAGUGAAAGUAAUAAGACUCAUGGGGAAAAAAGUUUUGGGACAGACUAUUGAAAUUCCAUGAAACUGAUCUUGGAUACUAACUAAAAACAAUAGCAAUCCUAAAAAAACAAAGGACUAGCAUUUGUACCUUGUGUUACCAUCAGUCUUUGGAAUCUUGAACCUUGGAUUCAGCCUCUUCUAGUUGUAGGUCCUGGAAGGACAUUGCUUCUAAGAGACUAUUUUCAUUAAAAUAAAAAAUCUAAUCCUAUGUGUAGCUUUCUUCAUUAAUCCAUUUUUAAAAAAAAUAUUUAUUUGUUUAUUUGGUUGUUCUGGGUCUUAGGAAGCCCUCGCUGGCUUCUUAGUUGCGGUAUGUGGGCUCCUUAGUUGUGGCAUGCGAAUUCUUAGUUGUGGCCUGCAUCUUGGAUCUAGUUCUCUGAGCAGGGAUCGAAUCCGGGUCCCCUGCAUUGGGCUCAUGGAGUCUUAACCACUGCACCACCAGGGAAGUCCCAAUCCAUUGUGUUAAUACAGGGGGAAUUUUUUGCAGCUUCUUCAUCUGCACAGGCAGCUUUGUCAAAUAGCUUAACCCAGUUAGCUGAAAGAGUAGCAAUUCCUGAAGCCGCUAAACCAGCUACUACUCGUAAGAAAGAAAAGUACUUUUGUAGAUUUUCAGGGCUUUUUCCUUAAAAUAUUCAUCUGUUACUAAGCUUUCAUCUUUAUUUGUGGAAAAGCUUUCCCCUUUGCCUCAAAACAUUAACAUGCUAGGAAAAAUAGUGUAUGAAGCAACAUAACUUCCUUUUACACUAGCAUCAUUCACCUAUUUCUAGUUGCCUAAGAAGUAAUUCACAGCAAAGAACAUACAUUAUAGCAGAACAGACUUUACACUUGUUUUGAUUUGAUUUGUUAAAUGCAUAGGGUGAGUGGCAGGUGAGUUUAGCUGACGCUUCAACAACUUGGCAGUUAGGGACAUCAGACCCCUGUGCAGUGGAAAAUCCUCAUGUAGCUUUACAGUCGGCCCUCUGUACCCACAGUUCCGCUUCCUUGGAUUCACCCAACCAUGGAUUGCAUGGUAUUAUAGUGUGUAUUUAUUGGAAAAAAAAAAUCCGUGUGUAAGUGGACCUGCAUAGUUUAAAUCCAUCGUGUGUAAGUGGACCUGCCUUGUUCAAAUCCACGUUGUUCAAGGAUCAACUGUAUUAAUUUUGGAAUCGGGAAGACCAGGCUUUGAAUUCUGGCUCUAUCACAUAAAUGUCACUUUCUGCAAGUUACUUGACUUCUUUAAGCCUCAAUUUGUGUAUCUGUAAAAUGGAAUUAAUUAUACCUGUCCAUAGAGUUUGGUAGUAAAUAAAGGAGAUAAUUCCUGACAAUUUUUUUUACACACUGAAUUUACUAUAGUAAGUGUUAGCUCUUAAUUUGCAGUUGUCAUUUAUAAUUCAUAGUACUCUUCAGAGCAUAGCAUAACAUAUACCACUGUCAAGAAAUAUUUUCAGCAAGUUUAACAUUUUUCAGAUAAUUUUUAGAUGCUUAUCAAUUUUAUUUAAUAUAAAAUAUGAGAAGGCAGGAUUUUGUUUUUACUGUCAAAUGUAGGUCACAAGGAAAACAGACACAAAAUGUGGUAAAUGAGAUUUGUAUUUUCAUUUUUUUGGCAAAAUUUUAUAUAGGAAACUGGUAAAAUAAUCAGAAAGUGAAGAGGCUGUAAUUGUAUUUAGGCUCGUGUGAUGUAAGGGGAUACAAACAGGUUUUUUCCUUUAGGUUUCAAAGGAGAUGAACUUUUUUCUGUUUGAACGCUGUUAAAAGUUCUAUACUGCUUUUGCCUAUGACAUGUAGUGGUUUUUAAGGUUUAUAUUCUCUCUUCCAACUCAAAGCUUUCAUUUAACCAAAUAAGUUGAACAGGAACUCCAUUUAAAACUUCUCAUUGAUCCUUCUUAUUUGAUUUGAUAUUUCCUAUUGACAUUUUUAUUCUUAGUACUAUGCACUGAACUAUUUUCAACAAAUUCUAUUGAGGAGUCAUUUCUUGAAAACCUGUUACAGGCAAGAUCUUUGAACACCUUAAGUUUUAUAAAAGAUGAGUUAAGACAGUUUGGUCUUUGGCUGUUUGUACCUUAGUGCAGAAUCCAGCUAUGCUCAGAACUUUUACUGUAAUAUAAAGAUGAACAUAAUGACUCCUGUAAUAGAGACAUUUCACAAAUACAGAAGAAGAAGGAGUGAUUAAUUUGGACUGGGGAUUUCAGCAAAGCCUUCAUGAAGGAUUUCUUAUUCCUCUUCUUAUUU